ACGGGAUCAAAUUUCAGGUUUCGUCCGUGGCGGCUUAUACUGCUCUUGAUUGUGAUGUGCCAGAGUACAGGCAUUCGAGAAAGGCAGACGUCGCCGCUUGCGUUGCUAAAUGCUUGGAUUUGGAUUUUCAGCCAGCGAAAAACUGCAGCUACAAUUCAAACACGGGAAAAGUCGUCGUGAAAUACGAAAAUUUUCAGGGAGACGGAUGUCCAAAGUGCUUUCUCGAUAGGAAAAAUGUAUGAUUUAUUUAAAAAUAAUCAAUUUUGUAAUUUUCUUUUUAGUUCCAAGUGUACAAGUCAGCUGUUGGAUUAUUCCCUUUGGUAACCCAUCCGGUGUGUGGAAAAAAGAUCGAUUACGGAAAAGUGGCAAUUCCGUCCGACUACGACAUGGCAGGAAUGAUUUGCGGGAUAAUUUGGCCCUCGGAGCGACACUGGCUCCCGAAGGACUGGGACGAGGUGCGCUGCGUCAUCGAAACGCUCCCGGAAGAAAUUCAGCGAAUAGGAAAAUUGCGAUUUGUAGCGUACAGAAGCAGCUGCAGUCAGGAAUUCUUCUUCUGCACCACCGACACCCCGCGCUCGUUGCGAAAAUCGUUCUUGUUCGAGGAGCUGAAUAACCAAACAUUGGCACCGAACGGAACGUGCGCCAUUUUUGACUUUAAAAUUAAAAAUAAGAGGGCUGUGGACGUCAAUGUCAGAGCCGCGGAUUGCAAGGAAAAGGCCUUUGCUGUGUGCGAGUUAGACGUGUAACAAAAGUUUGUACUAGCAGUUCACUUAAAUGAUUGAAGAAAGAAAAUUUAAAAUAAAUAAUGAAUAUUUUUUUCAGUGAUUGCGUAUCUUGAUUAUGGAAGUGCAAAGGGUUCAUCUUAAAAAAAUGCAAAGAUGGUUUUGUGAAAUUCUUCAACUUGUUUUAGCAAAAUGAA